ACCUGGCUGGCUUAGUCAGUAGAGCAUGUGACUCUUGAUCUCGGGGUCAUGAGUUCAGACCCCAUGUUGGGUG
rnacentral:tRNA from 1 species